rnacentral:rRNA from 1 species
UACGUAGGGACCAAGCGUUGUUCGGAUUUACUGGGCGUAAAGGGCGCGUAGGCGGCAAUUCAAGUCAGCUGUGAAAUCUCCGAGCUUAACUCGGAACGGUCAGCUGAUACUGUUUUGCUAGAGUACAGAAGGGGCAAUCGGAAUUCUUGGUGUAGCGGUGAAAUGCGUAGAUAUCGUAAGGAAGACCAGUGGCGAAGGCGGGUCUCUGGACAGUUCCUGACGCUGAGGCACGAAGGUCAGGGGAGCAAACGGGG